AGAUUUGGGCAACUUGGAGACCAAAUCUGGACCCUAGGAUCACCUAGGGAAACGUGUGCAAGAUGUAGGUGGAAUACCCAAGAGCAUGGGGCCGUGGGCACGUGCUCCAAGGCGUGUAUUGUUGAGAAUACAUGCUGGUUCAUCAUUAGGAGGAAAGCUGCUGCAACGAGACUGAUUCAGCGUUGUGGGCUUAUCUCGAAGCAUGGACUGAAUCCG
rnacentral:lncRNA from 1 species